UACAGAGGUCCCAAGCGUUGUUCGGAUUCAUUGGGCGUAAAGGGUGCGUAGGUGGCGUCGUAAGUCGGGUGUGAAAUCUCGGGGCUUAACUCCGAAACUGCACUCGACUACUGCGGUGCUUGAGGACUGGAGAGGAGACUGGAAUUUACGGUGUAGCAGUGAAAUGCGUAGAGAUCGUAAGGAAGACCAGUGGCGAAGGCGGGUCUCUGGACAGUUCCUGACACUGAGGCACGAAGGCCAGGGGAGCAAACGGG
rnacentral:rRNA from 1 species